rnacentral:rRNA from 1 species
UACGUAGGGGGCUAGCGUUGUCCGGAUUUAUUGGGCGUAAAGAGCGUGUAGGCGGCCAGGUAGGUCUGCUGUGAAAACUCGAGGCUCAACCUCGAGACGUCGGCGGAAACCAUCUGGCUAGAGUCCGGAAGAGGAGAGUGGAAUUCCUGGUGUAGCGGUGAAAUGCGCAGAUAUCAGGAAGAACACCCAUGGCGAAGCGCUCUCUGGGACGGUACUGACGCUGAGACGCGAAAGCGUGGGGAGCAAACAGG